rfam:Stegodyphus mimosarum contig11002, whole genome shotgun sequence.
GCCUUUGUGGUGUAGUGGUCAGCACACUUGAUGCAUAACCUAGAGGACCGUGGUUUGAUUCCCGGCGAAGGCG